UUCAUAUGUACGGAAAUGGAUAACCUAAACAAUAAAAUCUAUGAUUUCAGUUAUCAAAAAUGGCUCUAAUAGUAAAAAAUAUGCCUUAGUGUUUAAAAACUAGGGUAUGUCCCUUUAAUAUAUAGAAAUAAUCAAACUAAUCGACCCUGAGCAAGUUUUAACGACUUAUUAAUCUAUAGAAAUAAUCAAACUAAUCGACCCUGAGCAAGUUUUAACGACUUAUUAAUCUAUAGAAAUAAUCAAACUAAUCGACCCUGAGCAAGUUUUAACGACUUAUUAAUCUAUAGAAAUAAUCAAACUAAUCGACCCUGAGCAAGUUUUAACGACUUAUUAAUCUAUAGAAAUAAUAAAACUAAUUGACCCUGAGUAUGUUUUAACGACUUAUUAAUCUAUAGAAAUAAUAAAACUAAUCGACCCUGAGCAAGUUUUAACGACUUAUUAAUGUAUAGAAAUAAUAAAAAUAAUCGACCCUGAGCAAGUUUUAACGACUUAUUUGAAUGUCAAAGUAUACUUUUGUUACAUUAAUAAACAUUAAUAAAGUUAUUAAGUACUUGCACUGUAACAUACUGUAAUAUGUAUGUCUAUUAUGACAUGGUAUAGUACUUUGUAUAUUGGAUACUGCAUGUUUAUCAUAUUCACACUUUUGUCAGUUCUGCUGUCAAAACACAACUUCACUUGUAUUAAUAUUCUUAUUUAUAGCAGCUGGAUAACAGUUAAUUUAGUUUUAUGGCGGAAAUGAGUGCAUUAAUGUCGACAAUCCUGAGCACAAUUCUAAACAGUAAGUCAUAACAUUACUGUCUCAAAUGUAAUUAUAUUCCAUUGUGAUAAAUAGUUUACAGUAGCUAGCUUAAAUACAUUUAAUUUAACAUCAUGAUAUAUACUACAUUCUAACCAGUUAUAUUAUAUAGACAAAUUUGUACUAACCCUGGAUAGUGUUUGAUAAAUAGAAAGACCAAAAAUCAAAAGGUUCAUCUGUAUUAGUUUUUUCUAGGGCUUCUGUGGGGGUUUUGUUUAUUUUUUUUUUUUUUUUUUUUUUUCUGUUGUUUUUUUGGAGGCUUGUGAGGUUUAUGUUUGUUUCUUCCGAGGUUUUUUGUUGAAUUUUUUUUUCUCUUGUUUUGUUUUGUUUUUUUAGGCUUGUGGUAUUUUUUUAAUUUCCGAAAACCACCAUUUUAAAAACCCAUUAUUGUAUGUAUCAGGUUUUAAUCAUAAGACAAAUCUUACAUUCCUUAUUCUAAAGUCUAUAUUUGCUAUUAUUCAGAUCUUUGAGUAUAAAAUGUGUUAGUAGUGUAUAUUUCAGUUACUAUCUGAUAGUCGGCGUAAAACCAUAAAUUUGUAAAACACUUAAAUAUGUGAUGUACAUGUAAAGUCAGUAUGGUUAAUUGUCUAUGUUUCGUUUUUUUCUUAAACUUAAUACAAUUGAAUCCUAUUGGCUCGAACCCCAUCGGUGCUCGAAAAAGUGUUUGACCCAUCGGGUAGUACGACCUAACCAUUCGGUCAGUAACGUGUAACUGUAACUCAGGACUUCAUUUUUGAUUCAAGAAUUGUGGUCUAUUGGACCCUUCAGAGUUUGACCCAACAAGAUUCUACUGUAUAUAUAUAUAAUAUGUAUUUACAAAUAGCUGUGAUAAAUUAUACGAUAAAUUAUACUUAACUGCAUCUAGUCACAAUAUUUACAAACAUACUGAUAGACCAAAAAAAGGGGUCUUACCAAUACCAAGAGUAAAUAAUGACGGGGAACCAAAACUUUCAUCAAUAGUGUCAGAGAGUCGGGCAGGUCAUUGGCAGUCAGUCCCGCAUUACAGACAUUCAGUUCUAAAUUAAACCUUUGUAUUUAACACAGACACUGUGAUGCUAAUAGUCAAUAACCAAAACUUUCAUCAAUAGCGUCAGAAAGUCUACCAGGUCACUGGCAGUCAGUCCCACAUUACAGACAUUCAGUUCUAAAUUACAUCUCUGUAUUUAACACAGACACUGUGAUGCUAAUAGUCGAUAACCAAAACUUUCAUCAAUAGCGUCAGAAAGUCUACCAGGUCACUGGCAGUCAGUCCCACAUUACAGACAUUCAGUUCUAAAUUACAUCUCUGUAUUUAACACAGACACUGUGAUGCUAAUAGUCGAUAACCAAAACUUUCAUCAAUAGCGUCAGAAAGUCUACCAGGUCACUGGCAGUCAGUCUAACAUUCAAUUACUUCAUUACACCUUAGUAUUUAAUACAAAUACUUUGAUGCUAAUAGUUAAUUAAAUUUGGUCUACAAUACAAGUUUUCCCUUAUUGCUUAGCAUUAAUAUUCUUUGGGUGGGGCUUUAACUUCUAUUUAUUAGUAUUCACAUUUGUCUACGUUCUUGUCCUGGACGAAGGAGCUGACACCUGCGUCCAGGACAGGCGUGCACUACAACUUGCUCUGAAUGUGCACGUUAAACCCCAUGACCUGACCUGACCUGUUUAUCUCUUGUAACGCUAUUAAUGGAUAACUUUAAUUACAAGAGAAAUCUUAAAGUACCAUCAUAAUAUCCAUGGCAUGUGAGUUAAUGGCUGAAGUUGGUGGAGUAUUCAAAAAUAUCCCAAAAUAUUUCAAACUAAUUAGGCUCUAUGAAAUUUUAAAAAAACAUUUUUUAAAAGAGUAGAGAAUCUGUCAUCUUAAUACAGACAUUUUGUUUUGUAGCUGCUAAUUAAUUCUGUUAGUAAAUCACUAAUACUUAAUUGAAAAUUAAUAAAGUGCUAACUGGAAUAAAUGUCUAUAACGAUUUGUAGUUUCAUGGCCAGUACAUGUGUAUUUGUCUUGUUGAAGCAAGACAAACUUUAUUUAUAGUUUUUUCCUGGAAAAUAGUCAGAGGUUUGAGCUGAAGUGAUAGUGAAAUAUUUAAUGUAUGCACAUAAUGUAUUGCGUGUAUCUGAUACCAAAUUGGUGCAAUUUGUACAAGUCUGAAUGUUUUAAAUGUAGAAAAAAAUUCCAAUGACCAAAUUAAAUAUGGUAUGAAGAUCAUAUCUGGAAAAUUUUUAUCCUAUUAAAAAAACAUUUUUUAAACUAAUGAUUAAGUAAUCAUUGGCUACUGGAUGUCAAAUAUUUAGUAAAUCGGACACAGUAUUUAGUUAAAAUUUGUUUCGUUUUAUGUCACCACUAAUACUUUGGCACUUUGGCUAACUAAUCUUUAACUAUUGGAUGUCGGAUGUUAAGUUUUCUGUAUUAUAAAACCUGUGUUAAUGUUAAGGAAAAACUACAUAUAAAUUUAAAAAACCACAACCCUAAAAAAAAAUUAAAUUAAAAAAAGGAUUAAAAAUUAUAUAAAUAUUUCUGAAUACAAAACCUGCAUGAAAUGUUUUCGUACAAAUUUCUGUGAAAGCAAAAUAGAUGUUAAUAUUUCUGUAUAUAUUAAUAUUUCUGUAUAUAUACAAAACCUUUGUUGGUAUACGGUGGUGAAUAGAGCUAUUUAAAUGAAAUGUUUUAUUACAGAUUUCUGUGAAAACAAAAUGGGUGUUAAUAUUUCUGCAUAUAUACAAAACCUUUGUUGGUUUACGGUAGUAAAUAGAGCUGUUUUAUUACAAAUUUCUGUGAAAACAAAAUUGCAGUAAUUAUUAACCAUUUAAUUUGUCUGUUGGUUUUUAAAUAACUUGUUCUGUUUGUUGUUUUCAACUUCUGCCAUGUGCAUUCCAUGUUCUGUAUCAGUGUUAAUUAUCGCCCAUUCCCACCAAGUUAUACAGACGAUAUGUUGUUUUUUCACUCUCUCCGUUAUUUGUUACCUUCAAUCAUGGUUGUGAAAACAGUCCUUAUUCCUAUGCAAAUCACAGGGUGAAAAGCUCUCUUGGUUAGCUGCUGUACUUGUCUAAUUAGAUUAAUAAACAAGUCGCAAUAUUUCUUGAGAAUCCACGUUCUGUUCUAUUUGUUAAUUAUGUAAAUUUAAAAUCGCACAAACUGCCAAUCGGUUGCGUGGUAAACCGUUGCAUGAUGAGAAAAUCAUUUCUUCAAGUAUCGAAGAAACUCUUCUUUAAUAAAAUACUAUUAAA